rnacentral:rRNA from 1 species
AUUGAACGCUGGCGGCAGGCCUAACACAUGCAAGUCGAACGGUAACUGGAAGAAGCUUGCUUCUUUGCUGACGAGUGGCGGACGGGUGAGUAAUGUCUGGGAAACUGCCUGAUGGAGGGGGAUAACUACUGGAAACGGUAGCUAAUACCGCAUAACGUCGCAAGACCAAAGAGGGGGACCUUCGGGCCUCUUGCCAUCGGAUGUGCCCAGAUGGGAUUAGCUAGUAGGUGGGGUAACGGCUCACCUAGGCGACGAUCCCUAGCUGGUCUGAGAGGAUGACCAGCCACACUGGAACUGAGACACGGUCCAGACUCCUACGGGAGGCAGCAGUGGGGAAUAUUGCACAAUGGGCGCAAGCCUGAUGCAGCCAUGCCGCGUGUAUGAAGAAGGCCUUCGGGUUGUAAAGUACUUUCAGCGGGGAGGAAGGGAGUAAAGUUAAUACCUUUGCUCAUUGACGUUACCCGCAGAAGAAGCACCGGCUAACUCCGUG